AAGAGAAUAUUGAAAUAAAAGAAGCUGCUAACUAUCUUUUAAAGCGGUUAAAUUCCGUUUUUCUCUUA
rnacentral:tRNA from 1 species